CCUACGGGAGGCAGCAGUGAGGAAUAUUGGUCAAUGGGCGAGAGCCUGAACCAGCCAAGUCGCGUGAAGGAUGACGGCCCUACGGGUUGUAAACUUCUUUUGUCAGGGAGCAAUUGAGUCCACGUGUGGGCUUAGCGAGAGUACCUGAAGAAAAAGCAUCGGCUAACUCCGUGCCAGCAGCCGCGGUAAUACGGAGGAUGCGAGCGUUAUCCGGAUUUAUUGGGUUUAAAGGGAGCGCAGGCGGCGCGUUAAGCCUGGUGUGAAAGCCCGCGGCCCAACCGCGGGACUGCAUUGGGAAUGGGCGCGCUGGAUUGCCGGAGGGGUAGGCGGAAUUCCUAGUGUAGCGGUGAAAUGCGUAGAUAUUAGGAGGAACACCAGUGGCGAAGGCGGCCUACUGGACGGUGACUGACGCUGAGGCUCGAAAGCGUGGGGAGCAAACAGGAUUAGAUACCCUAGUAGUC
rnacentral:rRNA from 1 species